rnacentral:rRNA from 1 species
UAUACCGUGAAACUGCGAAUGGCUCAUUAAAUCAGUUAUCGUUUAUUUGAUAGUACCUUACUACUUGGAUACCCGUGGUAAUUCUAGAGCUAAUACAUGCUAAAAACCCCGACUUCGGGAGGGGUGUGUUUAUUAGAUAAAAAACCAACGCCCUUCGGGGCUCCUUGGUGAUUCAUGAUAACCUCUCAGAUCGCACGGCCUUGCGCCGGCGACGGUUCAUUCAAAUUUCUGCCCUAUCAACUUUCGAUGGUAAGGUAUUGGCUUACCAUGGUUUCAACGGGUAACGGGGAAUUAGGGUUCGAUUCCGGAGAGUGAGCCUGAGAAACGGCUCACACAUCCAAGGAAGGCAGCAGGCGCGCAAAUUACCCAAUCCCGACACGGGGAGGUAGUGACAAUAAAUACUGAUACAGGGCUCUUUUGGGUCUUGUAAUUGGAAUGAGUACAAUUUAAACCUCUUAACGAGGAACAAUUGGAGGGCAAGUCUGGUGCCAGCAGCCGCGGUAAUUCCAGCUCCAAUAGCGUAUAUUAAAGUUGUUGCAGUUAAAAAGCUCGUAGUUGAAUCUUUGGCCUGGCUGGCGGGUCCGCCUCACCGCGUGCACUUGUCCGGCCGGGCCUUCUCUUCUGGAGAACCGCAUGCCCUUCACUGGGCGUGUUGGGGACCAGGACUUUUACUUUGAAAAAAUUAGAGUGUUCAAAGCAGGCCUUUGCUCGAAUACGUUAGCAUGGAAUAAUAGAAUAGGACGUGCGGUCCUAUUUUGUUGGUUUCUAGGACCGCCGUAAUGAUUAAUAGGGACAGUCGGGGGCAUCAGUAUUCAAUUGUCAGAGGUGAAAUUCUUGGAUUUAUUGAAGACUAACUACUGCGAAAGCAUUUGCCAAGGAUGUUUUCAUUAAUCAGUGAACGAAAGUUAGGGGAUCGAAGACGAUCAGAUACCGUCGUAGUCUUAACCAUAAACUAUGCCGACUAGGGAUCGGGCGGUGUUAUCGAUUUGACCCGCUCGGCACCUUGCGAGAAAU